UACCACCUCGCCUAGCCAAGGGGGCCGUGUUGCACUUAUAAGGGCGGGCCUCCCUCCUCUCUCAGCCUAGGUUUUGAGAGCGAGGUGCCUGUCUGAAUAGGCUGCGCGCGAGCGCAUGAACGCCCGACGCUGGUGAUGGUGGGCUUUGGCGGACUGGCCCAGUGGGUGCGUUACAAAUGGUAUCGGAGCCCACAUUGCCGCUGCUGCCUGGGAGAGCUUUGGGCCUCUUAGGGGGGUGGGAUGUAAGGGGCCGGUAUGCAUGCCCUGGGUUAGUACCACCUCGCCUAGCCAAGGGGGCCGUGUUGCACUUAUAAGGGCGGGCCUCCCUCCUCUCUCAGCCUAGGUUUUGAGAGCGAGGUGCCUGUCUGAAUAGGCUGCGCGCGAGCGCAUGAACGCCCGACGCUGGUGAUGGUGGGCUUUGGCGGACUGGCCCAGUGGGUGCGUUACAAAUGUCAGCAGCUCUAGGUGCUAUACAAAAGUUAAGGAUGGUAGCUCCGGAUGUUCUACGGAAGCCAAGCCAUGCAAGACGAGGAGAAGCAGGCUUCUGAAGCUGUUGAAAGAGGGAAGCUGAGAAGAGUAGCCGAGAGACUAAGCCCAACAAGAAGUAUAUUGGUGUCAAUAGGCUGUAAUAGGGCCCACAUAUUUGUUAGCUAUAAAAGAGGGAAAACUGCUCGUCUGUAACCUGGCUUUUGGCUAACGAUGAACUUGGAAAGGAAGAUAGAACAUAGAACUGAUUCCUGAGUGUCUGGUGAGUCUUGUGAGAGGGUGUUGUUAACAUUUGGUAUCAGAGCUGGUUCUUCCACACCGUCGCAAACCAAUUUCAGGCGAGAAUUGGAACUAUGGCGUGGCCGAGCCUCGAAGAUCCGAUGGCGCAGCUGAUGGCGAAAAUCGAGGAAGGAAAUUGAGGGAUUCAUCGGUGUAUGGACUCGAUGCAGUCUGCUAUGGAGAAGAUGGAGAUCACGCUCAAGGGUUUGCUGACAUAUCAGAGCGACUUCGAGAAGGGGAGGCCAGGAAUCGAAGCGGAGGAGGUGGGGAUGAUGGAAGCACCAAAGUCCGUUCAGAAUCUGGUGGCGAACGCCAUAUCGGCGCGCGUCAUCUCCAUUGAGAAGGAUGGCUCCGUCUCCGACACGCCAGCAACGUCCAUGCCUUCUCCGGCCUCAGAUCCGCGGCAUGAUACCAGCUUCACCACCACACGCACGUGUCUGGGCACAGACCAUGCUGUCACCGCCGCGAGCAGGCGCGCCGGUGCGGGCCACGUCGCGAGUGAACGCACGAGAGGGCGCCACCGUCGCCCCCAGCCGUGCGGACGAGCAAGCGCCCCUGCCGCCGUCGCGGGCACACGCGGACCGUCGCCGCCGCCGCGUAGGCGAGCGUGCGCGGGCCGUCGCCGCUACACAGGUAGCACCGAACCGUGCCCCGUCCAGGCGCCCCUGUCGCCAUCGCGCAGGCGAGCGCAAGCGGGUCGCCGUCACCGCCGCCACAUUGACUCCCUGAAGUGGUGUCUGGUUAUUGAAGCGAAGGGGGUGGAGAUGGCAGAAGCACUAACGAACAUCCGGAAUCAGGCGAACAACGUGGCGCGGAAGGCACUCGGAGUUCCUCUUUCCAUUUCGGUGGUGGCACGCUCCUCGAUGUCGAUUCCUCUGGUAACUACGUCGAGCGGAGCGACAACUGGACCAAUUAUCCAACAAAUCGCUGAUCCUUAUCAACAACCAGCUACUGAUUUGAAUGCAACCCGAAUCCCUAUUCUAGUGGAAGAUGUGGUGACCGAGUUCAUCAAUGGGUUGGUGGAUAUUUACCCAGAUCUGCAGUACCUCGAAGAGUUCCCUCAGAUUAAGGUCGUUCAUCGUGUUGAGGUCGAGCACAGUUCCUAUGACAAAGUUGCAGUCAUCUCAGGUGGUCAAAGUGGCCAUGAACCUGCCCAUGCUGGAUUUGUUGGUCCUGGAAUGCUGACCGCUGCUGUCUCUAGAGAGGUCUUCACUUCUCUACCUGUUGAUUCUAUUUUAGCCAUUGUUCGAGCUGUAACUGGUUCCAAGGGGUGCUACACGGAUGCAAAGAUGUGUGAAGUCGUGACGAGGCCCUGCGUCAGGGGAGGGAUGCAUAGUGACGCUGUCAGGGUGUUCGGUGAAAUGACCGGCGCCUGGGUCAAGCCCGACGAACACGUUUAUGCCACCACAAUCACAUGUUUGGGCAGGCUACAUGAUGCAGAUCAUGCACUUCAGGUACUGGAAAAGAUGAGGGAGGCAUGGGUCGAGCUGUGGGAGUUAACAUGCAAUUCUAUGGUGGGUGUGCUUGUGAAGGUGGGAAGGAUGGAUGAGAUAUUGCAUCUAAAGGAUCAGAUGAUGCUGGCUAAGGAGAAGAUGGAUGUGGUUCUCGCGAGAAUGUUGAUGCACGUGUACUAUUUGAGUGGAGAAGUUGGGAAAACAUUAGAAUUGUUUGAUGUGGUUGCCAGUGAUGGUGUGACACUGUCCAAUGUGGCAUAUGGGGUGAUGAACAAAGGUUGUGAAGAAGAGGGGAUGACAGAUGAGAUAUAUAAGCUAUGCACAUAUGAGUUCAAUUUGGUGAUCAGAGGCCUCUUGAGAAACAAACAGUGGAAAGUUGACAUUGACUUACUUGAACUUAUGGUUGAUACUUGGGUACCACAUUUCUUCACUUACAGUUGUCUAAUUCAUUGGCUCUACAAGCAUCACAAACUCUGCGAGGCAGUCAGCUUAUGGGAUAAGAUGACGGAAGCAGGGGUCAACCCUUCUAUUGUGACAUACCACACCCUAAUGUUGGGGUACUGUCAGAAAGGGUGCAGAGAUAAAGCACUCAAGUUAUACUCUGAGAGGCUUGAUGAAGGAUUCCCAUCUAAUGAGGCCAGUUACCUUAAGUUGAUGAAAGGGUAUAUCAAGAAGAAAACUGUUGACAAGGCCUAUGCCCUUCUUAAUGAAAUGCGUCAGAAUGGAGCUCUCGACGAGGGUUUUAAGCAGGCAAAAUCUGAAGGCUAUAAUAUGGAGAUGGUCGUUGCUGGAGCUGGUUGUGUUUUUUCCCCACCUAGAGGAAUAGCAGGUAGAAGAGGUUCAGCUAGAACAAUUAUUGUGCAUAAAGUUGCUGAAGAAGCAAAACCUGCAUUUGAAGUUGACGUUACGAUGGGAGUUGCACUUUCUGUUUGCACAUUGCCAGAGCAAGUUACUUCUGGGAGUUUGGGUCAAAGGCAACUGGAGCUUGGCCUUAGAAUCCAUGGAGAACUUGGUGUUGCUGUUGUUGAACUCCAGUCAGUUGAUAUAGUAGCAGAACAUGUUCUUAAGCAGAUAGUGUCACGAGAAACUCAGUAUCUUCCUAACACAAGGGGUUGCAAUGAUGUUCUCCUAGUGAAUGGAUUAGGCGCCACUCCUAUCAUGGAACUUAUGAUUGCAGCAGUUCCUGAGUUGCAAUUGGUGUAUGACAUUGCUAUUGACAGGGUCUACACUGGCACAUUAUUGACAUCACUGGAUAUGGCAGGAUUAUCCAUUACCGUUAUGAAGUCUGACCAAAGUAUUUUGAGGAGACUUGAUGUUCUCACUAAAGCUCUAGCUUGGCCAGUUGGUUAUGAAGGAACUCGUCCACCAGCAAAGCUUCAUGUUCCUCUAGCACCAUCACCAUCAAUGAAGGAUGACGAGAUUCUUGCUCCAUCUCAAGAGCUGAGCAAGCAGUUCUUGAUGUUUCAUAUGCACCAGCAAAGUUUUCCAUGUGUACCAACUUGGGGACAAGUUGGAUCUCUAGGAGGGGGAAAUGUCAGCAGCUCUAGGUGCUAUACAAAAGUUAAGGAUGGUAGCUCCGGAUGUUCUACGGAAGCCAAGCCAUGCAAGACGAGGAGAAGCAGGCUUCUGAAGCUGUUGAAAGAGGGAAGCUGAGAAGAGUAGCCGAGAGACUAAGCCCAACAAGAAGUAUAUUGGUGUCAAUAGGCUGUAAUAGGGCCCACAUAUUUGUUAGCUAUAAAAGAGGGAAAACUGCUCGUCUGUAACCUGGCUUUUGGCUAACGAUGAACUUGGAAAGGAAGAUAGAACAUAGAACUGAUUCCUGAGUGUCUGGUGAGUCUUGUGAGAGGG
rnacentral:lncRNA from 1 species